UUCGGAUUCUCAGUUUCCACAUACAUUCUUCCCUGAAUUCAUUUGCCUGAAGACUGAAGACUGAUGACUGAUGACUGUCCUGGAGGCUCAGUUUUGCCAGUACCAUCUAUCUUUUUACAGUUGCCCUCUGGCCAAAGGUGCACUGACUGUUCUCACCCAGAAUCUGCUGCAUUGGUGCAUGCCCGGACACCCGCAGGAAGAGAAACUGGCAACAGCCUUCCCUGGGACUGAGGACAUGUCUUUUCCACAAGGCUCUAGUCCUGCUGUUACCACCCAGCAUCCACCAAGCCAAGAGUCUCCCCGCAGCUGUUCUCACAGGCAAAGAGCUGCACCCCAGAUAUGUCCUGGCCUGGAAGGGUAAGUUCACUCUUUCUGCUUGCCUGGGACCUCCAUCUUCUCCUGUCCUCAGACAUCAGUGCUCCUGGUUUUCAGGCCUU
rnacentral:lncRNA from 1 species